GGGGCCGUAGCCCAAUGGCAGAGGCACGCGGUUUAGGUCCGCGCCAGUGUGAGUUCGACUCUCACCGGCCCCACCA
rnacentral:tRNA from 1 species